GGUAUGAAUAUGGAUACGAAUACAGAUAUUAGUUAGAUAUGUAAAUUUUUAUUUAUAUUCGAAUUGAUUCGGAUAUGAAAAUAGAUUCGAACGGAUAAUAUCCAUACUAUUUUCACUUCUAAUCUCAGCAUGCCAUAUGGCUGCUAGAUAAAUUUAAUGUAUGACAUCACUCAUGUUCAUCUCUUAUCUUAUUUAUCGUGUAUAUUGCUACCAUUUCUCUUUAAUAAAAAGGAGGAAAAGAAAGC
rnacentral:lncRNA from 1 species